CAAAAUCCCUUACACUUCUAGUUUUUUUUUUUUUUUUUCCAUAUUUUCUCUUUAUUGCAAGUUGUUCAAGUUAGAUCAGAUUCCUUAAUGAAAGUGAAUGGUCUCAACUCCGAACGUUCAAAACAUUUGAUUGACAGAUUCUUCUUAGCCCACUUUUCAUUCAUUCAUUCAGUUUUACAUGUGAACUCCCAAAACGCUGACUCCCGAUUGGUGAGAGUGGUUGCCAUAGAAAUGCUGACUCAUACUGGAUCCACAAAUCACUGCUGACGCCAUGAUGUCGUCUGGCUCCAACACAGUGGCGUCCAUAUUUAAAAAAAAAAUGGCAUCUUAGUUGGCAUUAUUUUGUCAGUGUGGGUGAUGUCACUCUGACUCGCUCCAGUUCUCAUACACAGUCAAUGUGUUCAGCUCAAUAAUAAAAUAAAAAUACAACUUAAAAUAAAAUGUGUGCAAGUUAUGAUUUGUGCUGCUUACUUUUGGACUUUUUACUCAUUGCAUCACUCUUCCCUAGCACUGUCUGUUCCUCAUGCAGACAGAUACACCUAAUUCACCACUGUGUUUCCAUGGCGACUGGCCCACAUUAAUUUUCCAAGGCCGAAGACAGACGGCGACGGUGAAGAGAGACAUGAGGGGAGGGGGAGACAGAGAGAGAGACGGUUACUGCACACGCUCACAAGAAGGUGGUCUGAGUCCACACAGACACGGCGGCUUCUCCCCGCACCGUGUAAUGAGCCGGCGAGCCUCAGACACUUGGAAUCCUUCACCGUGAUAAUCUUAGUUCGCUCAGGCUUCAAAUAAAGACACACCAACAGCGAUACGGGGGGGUUGAAAAGAUUAGAAGAGGGAUCAGAAGGAAGAAGUUAAAGAUGACAUAUCAUGCAGCUUUACGCCGCUGAUGUUGCUUUGCACGUGGCUUUUCUGCCGCUUUGAGCCUGAGGCAUUGCAGUAAUUAUUCUCCUCCUUUCUGGCUCGUUUGCUUGCAGAUGCAUCACAUGUAUAUGCAGCCAUACAACACGCCCCCCCUUCUAUUGUACUGUGUUGCUACAGGUACACAGUCUAUGCACGCUGCUAAGUCCUGUCCCACAAUCCCAGUGCUCGGGAAAUGGAUCUAAAAAAAAGAGUCGUGUUCCCUCCAUCCUGACAGUGCCCCCUUUUCGUGUCACUGGAAUGUAAUCUCAUUUAAAUUAAAAUGAAACCCUCACCAGUAAUAGCUUUUUCUGACAGAGGUGGUCUGAGUUUUUAAAAAGAGCACGGAUUUCCAAGACCUAACAGAUUAUGUAGUGCUCCCCUCCCAUCAGAAAUGAAAUGAAAACUGAGCCCAGAA